AAUUUCGGGGUUAGCAGGUCGGUCGUGCCAUUGGUAUGAACUGGCCUCGCUGAUCCCUCCCUCUUGACGAACUGUGAUGCCAUUAAUUUGGUGUCGCAGGGAAUCAGGACUGUUACUUUGAAAAAAUUAGAGUGUUUAAAGCAGGCUCACGCUUGAAUACAUUAGCAUGGAAUAAUGAAAUAGGACGUUUGAUCCUAUUUUGUUGGUUUCUAGGAUUGACGU
rnacentral:rRNA from 1 species